rnacentral:rRNA from 1 species
GAUGAACGCUGGCGGCGUGCCUAAUACAUGCAAGUAGAACGCUGAAGCUUGGUGCUUGCACCGAGCGGAUGAGUUGCGAACGGGUGAGUAACGCGUAGGUAACCUGCCUCUUAGCGGGGGAUAACUAUUGGAAACGAUAGCUAAUACCGCAUAAAAGUCGACAUCGCAUGAUGUUGACUUGAAAGGUGCAAUUGCAUCACUAAGAGAUGGACCUGCGUUGUAUUAGCUAGUUGGUGAGGUAACGGCUCACCAAGGCGACGAUACAUAGCCGACCUGAGAGGGUGAUCGGCCACACUGGGACUGAGACACGGCCCAGACUCCUACGGGAGGCAGCAGUAGGGAAUCUUCGGCAAUGGGGGCAACCCUGACCGAGCAACGCCGCGUGAGUGAAGAAGGUUUUCGGAUCGUAAAGCUCUGUUGUAAGAGAAGAACGAGUGUGAGAGUGGAAAGUUCACGCUGUGACGGAUCUACCAGAAAGGACG